CUCUAUUCUUGUGCUGUUCUUAAUUCUGGAAUCAGCCUGUGUACAUCUGUUGGCACACAUAUCCAUGCUCAUUCCCUAAACUAAUCAUAUCUCUUGAAGUUAUCUGAUUCUUAUAACUUUCUGUGUUACACUGCAUUGCUUGUCUGUCUCCUAAUUUUGAUUUAGCUAAAAUUGUUCUUAUUUGUCUGAUUAUAAGUUUAC